rnacentral:lncRNA from 7 species
GAUUGUUUCAAAGCUGGAGGGGGAUAGAGCUGUAUUCAGAAUUAAAGGAAGCAGAAGUUAUCUGAGAAUGAAAAGUAUAUUCAGCUGUGAGUACUACAGUUCUCCACUCACCACAGCAACUCCUAGAGACGUGCUCUCAUCUGGUGGGUCAGACAUCACUUGAACGUCCUCCAGCUUUUCUGCCCUUGGCCGACUGAAAUCAAAUGGGAACAGAGCUAGAGAGGACCUGCCUCAGCAGAGAGCUGUGUGCCUUACUGACUGCAGGACUAGUGUUCCUACAUCGCAUCUCUAGCAAGCCAGUGCAGCUCUUCCUGCAGAACUUGCUAUGCAGGAAUAGGGAGGAUUCAGUUUCAUGCUCCUGAGUGUCCCUUCAGGCUUUUCUUCGUGCUGCCAGUGGAAAAUGCAUCAUCAUCUAAUGGACUCUUUUUUGUUACGUGAGAUAUGUUAAUCAUCUAAAAAAUAAGCCCAGGCACCCCACAAUUGAAAAUGCACAUGCAAAUCAGAAUGGGGAUCCAUAGAACUCUGUAAGCAGGCUGUAAGUCCAACUGAGGACCUGGGACAGAAGCCUUAUGAAUGACCUUUGUAAUAUGAAGAGUGUGAGCUAAUGUUUAUAAGGCGGUAGGGAAUUGCAUCUGAUCAUAUGCUCAGAAUGCCCAUCUUAUACUUACAACAAAGAUGCAAAUUUAACGAUGCACUCCUAGGAUGCUGCUAAUUAUGUUUUGUUCUUUUUAACCCUCGAGAAUAUUUUGACUGCUAAGCACUAAUAUCAGGAAUGCCACAUAAUCCUUAUUCUACAGCCUCAACUUAAAACUAAAAUAAUUCCCAUGGGGAAUUAAGAAUCACCUUUUUUCUUUCUUUUUUUUUUUUAAU